rnacentral:rRNA from 1 species
AGUGAACGCUGGCGGUAGGCCUAACACAUGCAAGUCGAACGGCAGCACAGUAAGAGCUUGCUCUUACGGGUGGCGAGUGGCGGACGGGUGAGGAAUACAUCGGAAUCUACUUUUUCGUGGGGGAUAACGUAGGGAAACUUACGCUAAUACCGCAUACGACCUACGGGUGAAAGCAGGGGAUCUUCGGACCUUGCGCGAUUGAAUGAGCCGAUGUCGGAUUAGCUAGUUGGCGGGGUAAAGGCCCACCAAGGCGACGAUCCGUAGCUGGUCUGAGAGGAUGAUCAGCCACACUGGAACUGAGACACGGUACAGACUCCUACGGGAGGCAGCAGUGGGGAAUAUUGGACAAUGGGCGCAAGCCUGAUCCAGCCAUACCGCGUGGGUGAAGAAGGCCUUCGGGUUGGAAAGCCCUUUUGUUGGGAAAGAAAAGCAGCAGGUUAAUACCCCGCUGUUCUGACGGUACCCAAAGAAUAAGCACCGGCUAACUUCGUG